CUUUAGACCAAAUCAAGAUGAAGAUUAAUGACCUUAAAAACGAAAACAGGGAUCUUCAAAAAAACAUAGCCAGUUGGGAGGAGAAGACCAUGGAAGCAAAGAAGCAAGCAGAAACGAAGAGAGAACAUUAGAGUUCCCUUGCUGAAGCCAAGAUGCACUGGCGGAUCAAGAGUUCAGAGC